UACAGAGGUCUCAAGCGUUGUUCGGAUUCAUUGGGCGUAAAGAGCGUGUAGGCGGCCUGGUAGGUCAGCUGUGAAAACUCGAGGCUCAACCUCGAGACGUCGGUUGAAACCACCUGGCUAGAGUCCGGAAGAGGAGUGUGGAAUUCCCGGUGUAGCGGUGAAAUGCGCAGAUAUCGGGAAGAACACCCGUGGCGAAGGCGGCACUCUGGGACGGUACUGACGCUGAGACGCGAAAGCGUGGGGAGCGAACAGG
rnacentral:rRNA from 1 species